GUGUUCACUUCAGCAGCACAUAUACUGAGAUUGGAACGAUACAUAGAAGAUUAUCAUGGCCCCUGCACAAGGAUGACAGAUUCAUAAAGCAAUCCAUAUUUUU